rnacentral:rRNA from 1 species
AUUGAACGCUGGCGGCCGGCCUAACACAUGCAAGUCGAGCGAGCCGCGGACGUGUGAGUAAUGUCUGGGAAACUGCCUGAUGGAGGGGGAUAACUACUGGAACCGGUCGCUAAUACCGCAUACCAUCAGAUGUGCCCAGAUGGGAUUAGCUAGUAGGUGGUGUAAUGGCUCACCUAGGCGACGAGCCCUCGCUGGUCUGAGAGGAUGACCAGCAACACUGGAACUGAGACACGGUCCAGACUCCUACGGGAGGCAGCAGUGGGGAAUAUUGCACAAUGGGCGCAAGCCUGAGGCAGCCAUGCCGCGUGUGUGAAGAAGGCCUUCGGGUUGUAAAGCACUUUCAGCGAGGAGGCGUUACUCGCAGAAGAAGCACCGGCUAACUCCGGGCCAGCAGCCGCGGUAAUUC